UUCAAGUAACGCCAUGUUCAAGAUCCCCAUGUGAAUACGGUGGGAAUUGUUCGGUAACAGACAAUAGUUUUUCCUGUACCUGUUUAAACGGAUUCACAGGAUUACAAUGCCAAAGUGAGUAAUAUGAUAUUCACAUUUAACGUGCUUAGUUAUAGGCAUUAUAACCGUUAAAUAAAUCGUUAUUCUUAAUAGAGAUGCGGUAUAUAAAGUUGAGAAUGGAAAUGGGGAACAUGUCAAAGUAACAAUAACCCGACCAAAGAGCAGAUAACAGCCGAAUUAGACAGCAAUCAAACGACGAAACUACUAAACGGUAUCUAUAGGGCAACAUUAAGUUUUCAACUAUUAAAGACAGUUUGCAAUAUGUCCAUCCUAAUGGUUGACUGGGGGGGGUUUAGAAAAUCCGUCGUCCCUAGAGUUAUCUUAUCCAAAAGUUAAAGACAUUCUAAGGUUGGGGUUUUGAUUCCCUGUGUCGAAAGUAUAAAUACGAACCCGUUUCAAGACUAGAAUUCGGAAUAAUUGUGUCCGGGUAGGGUGACAUGUCUUCGAUGACAAUGGUAUAACUUGUGAAGGUUAUUUAUUUCCAAUCUUCUUUUCAUGAGUAUGCAAGCAUAAAAUAAACACUUUAAAUGAGUUUUUGUGACAACACACCCAGGUAUAUGUACAUAUGGAUUUCGUACUUCAAAGAAUAGAGCGAAUGACUGCAAAAAUUACGACAUAUUCGUCUAUUAGACUUCAACCUUACAACACACAAAGAAAGAAAAAUAAAUGUCUAAAAGGCAAUAUACGAUCGUCAAAUAACUUUACUUUCUUCCAUUUUUUUAACCUAACACUUGAUUUUAAUAUCAGGUACUCCAUGCGAUAACUAUAGCUGUGACAAUGGUGGGACGUGCUUUCUUGAUGAAUUUCAGCCAAAAUGUGCGUGCAAAAGAGGAUUCACUGGUGAAAAUUGUGCAUGUAAGCUUAUGAAAUAUAGCAAUCUAUUUUUCUUUUUUUUAUAGAUUCCAUCAAACACCAAAAUUAUAUAUUCAUAUAUGCAUGCCUUUCCUUUAUAUUCAUCAGCUGACUACAGAACCUUCCAAUUUUAUUAGUUGUUCAUUUUAUAAAUUUAUGGUUCUAAAUAAGCUAACAAUAUAUACCACAUGUCUAUAACACGUCACAAUAAAAUACAUGUAUCCUAGUCAUCGUACUCUACAUUUUACCCCCUUUCCAUUAUUUGCGUCCCCGCAAAUACUUUAAACUUUUGAAAAAGUUUCCAUUUAAAAUUUUCUAUGUCUUAAAUACAUAUUCUUCGUAAAAAGAAAUUAUUUCUAAAACUGAAUGAAAUAAGCUUUCUUAUUAUAAAUACAAUCUAUGAUUAUAACACAAAUACAUCAUAAUAUAUUACCAGAUUAUGUAAAAAUUGUACAUAAAUAUAAUGUAUAUAUGUAUUUUUUAUAGAUAGAUGUGAAGUUUCAUCAGCAUGACCAGAAGCACGAGGGCAGUAGAUACCAAACAGACAUAUAUAUGUACCAAAUGUGGAAAAUUACUGAACGUUGUGAACAAACUGGAACAUGGCUUAGAACCAGAGGUUUUCUGAAGGAAAAUUUUAGUUACCAUGCUAACAGUACCAAAAUAUUUAAAUAUAAUUGUUUAAAAAUGCAC
rnacentral:lncRNA from 1 species